UACGUAGGGGGCAAGCGUUGUCCGGAAUCAUUGGGCGUAAAGCGCGCGUAGGCGGUCAGGUAAGUCCGGUGUGAAAGUCAAAGGCUCAACCUUUGAAUGCCGCUGGAUACUGCCUGACUUGAGUCCGGAAGGGGCGAGUGGAAUUCCUGGUGUAGCGGUGAAAUGCGUAGAUAUCUGGAGGAACACCGGUGGCGAAGGCGGCAUCCUGGACCAACACUGACGCUGAGGAGCGAAAGCCAGGGGAGCAAACGGG
rnacentral:rRNA from 1 species